rnacentral:rRNA from 1 species
UGGUGGAGUGAUUUGUCUGGUUUAUUCCGUUAACGAACGAGACCCUUGCCUGUUAAAUAGUGGUCUUUGUGGUGAUUCACAGUGGACCACUUCUUAGAGGGACCUGCGGCUGUAUAGCUGAAGGAAGAGAGGGGCAAUAACA